rnacentral:rRNA from 1 species
AUUAGUUUUUUAAUUGAAGGCUAGAAUGAAUGGUUGGACAAGAAAUAAUCUGUCUUAAGUGAAUAUAUUGAAUUUAACUUUUAAGUGAAAAGGCUUAAAUAUUCUGAAGGGACGAUAAGACCCUAUAAAACUUUAUAUUUAUAAAGUAGUAGUUAGUUUUAUUUAAAAGUAUUAUAUUAGAAUAUUUGGUUGGGGUGACCAGGAUAAAAUAUAAAAUAACUGUCUUUUUUUUUUUACAGUAAUAUUUGGUUUAAUGAUCCUAAAAAGGAUUAAAAGAUUAAGUUACUUUAGGGAUAACAGCGUGAUUUUCUUUAAGAGUUCUUAUCGACAAGAAAGUUUGCGACCUCGAUGUUGAAUUAAAAGUUCUUUAUAGAGUAGAGACUAUAAUAGAAGGUCUGUUCGACCUUUAAAAUUUUACAUGAUUUGA